rnacentral:rRNA from 1 species
UGUCGUCAGCUCGUGUUGUGAAAUGUUGGGUUAAGUCCCGCAACGAGCGCAACCCUUAUCCUUUGUUGCCAGCGGUCCGGCCGGGAACUCAAAGGAGACUGCCAGUGAUAAACUGGAGGAAGGUGGGGAUGACGUCAAGUCAUCAUGGCCCUUACGACCAGGGCUACACACGUGCUACAAUGGCGCAUACAAAGAGAAGCGACCUCGCGAGAGCAAGCGGACCUCAUAAAGUGCGUCGUAGUCCGGAUUGGAGUCUGCAACUCGACUCCAUGAAGUCGGAAUCGCUAGUAAUCGUGGAUCAGAAUGCCACGGUGAAUACGUUCC